rnacentral:rRNA from 1 species
CUGAAGAGUUUGAUCAUGGCUCAGAUUGAACGCUGGCGGCAGGCCUAAGACAUGCAAGUCGAACGGUAACGACACUAGCUUGCUAGUGGUCGACGAGUGGCGGACGGGUGAGUAACGCGUAGGAAUCUACCUAGUAGUGGGGGAUAGCCAAGGGAAACUUUGGGUAAUACCGCAUACGAUCUAAGGAUGAAAGGGGGCCUCUCUUUGAAGCUCUCGCUAUUAGAUGAGCCUGCGUAAGAUUAGCUUGUUGGUGGGGUAAUGGCCCACCAAGGCGACGAUCUUUAGCUGGUCUGAGAGGAUGAUCAGCCACACCGGGACUGAGACACGGCCCGGACUCCUACGGGAGGCAGCAGUCGGGAAUAUUGCGCAAUGGGGGAAACCCUGACGCAGCCAUGCCGCGUGUGUGAAGAAGGCCUUCGGGUUGUAAAGCACUUUCAGUUGUGAGGAAAAGUUAGUAGUUAAUACCUGCUAGCCGUGACGUUAACAACAGAAGAAGCACCGGCUAACUCCGUGCCAGCAGCCGCGGUAAUACGGAGGGUGCAAGCGUUAAUCGGAAUUACUGGGCGUAAAGCGCGCGUAGGCGGACUGGAAAGUUGGGGGUGAAAUCCCAGGGCUCAACCCUGGAACUGCCUCCAAAACUAUCAGUCUAGAGUUCGAGAGAGGUGAGUGGAAUUCCGAGUGUAGAGGUGAAAUUCGUAGAUAUUCGGAGGAACACCAGUGGCGAAGGCGGCUCACUGGCUCGAUACUGACGCUGAGGUGCGAAAGUGUGGGGAGCAAACAGGAUUAGAUACCCUGGUAGUCCACACCGUAAACGAUGAAUGCCAGUCGUCAGAGGGCUUGCCCUUUGGUGACACACCUAACGGAUUAAGCAUUCCGCCUGGGGAGUACGGUCGCAAGAUUAAAACUCAAAGAAAUUGACGGGGGCCCGCACAAGCGGUGGAGCAUGUGGUUUAAUUCGA